rnacentral:rRNA from 1 species
UACGUAGGGGGCAAGCGUUGUCCGGAAUCAUUGGGCGUAAAGAGCGUGUAGGCGGCCCGGUAAGUCCGCUGUGAAAGUCCAGGGCUCAACCCUGGGAUGCCGGUGGAUACUGUCGGGCUCGAGUCCGGAAGAGGAGUGUGGAAUUCCUGGUGUAGCGGUGAAAUUCGUAGAUAUCGGGAGGAACACCAGUGGCGAAGGCGGCGAUCUGGGUCGAUACUGACGCUGAGGAGCGAAAGCCAGGGGAGCAAACGGG